CAGCGACUGCCCCGGGAUGGAAGGGGCACGGGACCGCCACGGGAGCUCCCAAGCUGCGCGCCUGCCGGGUCUCCUCACCCCUCACACGCCAUGCCGCAGUCAGUCAGUCAGUCAGCCCCAAUGUUCCGGCCCCGCGUCUGCGGGGGCCGGCGUGGAACCACGUAGGCAACAGGAGCCCCGCAGCAGCAACCCCAGCCCCGCUGCGCAGGGGACCCGGCGCUGACAUUUCUGCCGCCACUUCAUUUCCAGGCCCUGGGAGAGUCCUGUCUAAAGGUCCCGGGGCGUGCGUGGGACAGUAAGACGUGGCAGUGCGGGGCUGCAGCCGGGGCGCGCAGGCAUCUCCCCCAGCCAAUUCCCUGAACGGAUACUUUCAAACUGAAGAGGAAGAUAGGAGUGAAAAUGAAGAAUGCCUUGGAGAAAUCCAGUCAUAAAGUUGGAGGAGUAGAAAUAAUAGUAAAUAUUAAUAACUCUGGUCUAUUACAUAGACCAGAAUUUAGACUGAAAUGAUGUAAAGUUACAAACCUAAGACAUAAGGGCUAUUAAAUUUGAAUCAAGAUUCACAGAUUUUUAAAUUGAUAUGUAAUAAAAAUAUUUGGGUUUUUUCCCUCUA